UUCUCUAAUAUCUUCUCUUGCCUAAAAAAAAGUUAACCUGUCAAAGAUAAUGGAGGCCACAACAAAGUUUCUAUCUUUUCUGUCAAUGUCAUCUGUAUCUGCAAAAUCUGACAUCCCUUUAAAUGAUAAGUUGUGCUGUUUGCCUCAUUUAUGGCAGGAAUUCUUGGGAGUUUUCUUUUCAGAAAUGGGCUCAACAGAGGAAUAUGAAGACGAACUCAGCAAAUAGUGGCUAAAGCUUGGCGUUUUGUGGCAGAACUAAUGAUACAAAACAUCCUGCAAUUAGGCCUGCUCCAAAAAGAGAUAGUCAACACAGGACCAUGCAUGAAGCACAACAAGGCCAAGGGAUGGUUCCCUAGAGGGAGGAAAAGGGACCCCAUCCCAGCAGCCAAUUUGGCCUCUUUACUCUCACUACCACCACUGGAGUCUCAGGAGCACCAUGCCUCCUCACCAGCCUUCAUGUAUAAGCCCCAGCCAGGUUGAGCCCUCAGCACUGGAAACAUCUCCCCUGCUCCCACUCCUCUGUCCAUGGUGGAUCUCCCUCGCCUAGUGGCAGAGGUGGGUCCUGAGGUGGCAUUGGGGAAGUCACUGUGGAUGGAGGGACCUCGUCUGAUUGCUUCAGUGCUGGGGACUGAUAUCUCUGUCAAAGCUACUCCAGUGUCAUUUGAGGAAUCUGCACUGGACAACUUUACAGAUCAUGGAGACGUGUCCCGGGUAAAGACAGCUGAUCAAGACAGAGACAGAAGAAAGAAAAGAUGCCAAGCACAGAGAGCCUCUGACUGGCACAGAGGUGGUAGAAAUCUUUGCAAAGAAAGCUGUGAACAAUGGCCCUUUCAGGAGGCUGGGCUUGAGAUCCAGCAGCUGUGUGAGGGACACUCCCGGUUGGUUGACAUCCAUCUGUUUACCAGCCAAUGGAAUCCAGCCUCUCUGGAGACCAAUAGGGGCAUGCCUGCCUUACACUACGAGGAGCACAUUCAGAAGGUGCGCUUCUGGACUGACAGGGUACGCACAGUGCCCCCCUCUCUCACCACCUCAAAAAAGCUGCUCAUCGUCACCUGCUCCCACAUCCAGGAGAAGGUGAAACGCUGUGUGAAAAUGUCUAAUGACAUUCAAUAA
rnacentral:lncRNA from 1 species